rnacentral:rRNA from 1 species
CAGGGAAUAUUAGAAAUGGACGAAAGUCUGAUCUAGCAACACCGCGUGUGCGAAGAAGGCCUUCGGGUCGUAAAGCACUUUUUGGAAGGAAUAGGAAGGAAUGUACUUCCAGAAUAAGUCUCGGCUAACUACGUGCCAGCAGCCGCGGUAACACGUAGGAGGCGAACGUUAUCCGGAUUUACUGGGCGUAAAGCGCGUGUAGGUGGUACUGUAAGUAGGGCGUGAAAGCUCCUGGCUCAACUGGGAGAGGCCGUUCUAAACUACAGAACUAGAGGAUGGUAGAGGGAAGUGGAAUUCCAGGUGUAGCGGUGGAAUGCGCAGAUAUCUGGAGGAACACCGGUGGCGAAGGCAGCCUCCUGGACCAUUCCUGACACUCAGACGCGAAAGCUAGGGUAGCAAACGG